GAUCCUGGCUCAGGAUGAACGCUGGCGGCGUGCUUAACACAUGCAAGUCGAACGGAGUUAUUGAAAGCUUGCUUUAAAUAACUUAGUGGCGGACGGGUGAGUAACGCGUGGGUAACCUGCCUUAUACCGGGGGACAACAGUUGGAAACGACUGCUAAUACCGCAUAAGCGCACAAGAAGGCAUCUUCUAGUGUGAAAAAACUCCGGUGGUAUAAGAUGGACCCGCGUCUGAUUAGCCAGUUGGCGGUGUAACGGACCACCAAAGCGACGAUCAGUUGCCGGCCUGAGAGGGCAAACGGCCACAUUGGGACUGAGACACGGCCCAAACUCCUACGGGAGGCAGCAGUGGGGAAUAUUGCACAAUGGAGGAAACUCUGAUGCCAGCGACGCCGCGUGAGUGAAGAAGUAUCUCGGUAUGUAAAGCUCUAUCAGCAGGAAAGAAAAUGACGGUACCUGACUAAGAAGCCCCGGCUAACUACGUGCCAGCCGCGGC
rnacentral:rRNA from 1 species